GUAGGGUGGCAAGCGUUGUCCGGAUUUACUGGGCGUAAAGGGCGCGCAGGUGGCUCGUCAAGUCUGAGGGUGAAAUCUCCCGGCUCAACCGGGAGGAGUCUUUGGAUACUGACGGGCUAGAGGGAAGCAGAGGAGAGCGGAAUUCCCGGUGUAGCGGUGAUAUGCGUAGAUAUCGGGAGGAACACCAGUGGCGAAGGCGGCUCUCUGGGCUUUUCCUGACGCUGAGGCGCGAAAGCGUGGGGAGCAAACCGGAUUAGAUACCCGGGUAGUCCACGCCGUAAACGUUGGACACUAGGUGUGGGGGGUAUUGACCCCCUCCGUGCCGCAGCUAACGCAUUAAGUGUCCCGCCUGGGGAGUACGGCCGCAAGGCUA
rnacentral:rRNA from 1 species